UACGGGGGGGAGCAAGCGUUUGUUCGGAUUUACUGGGCGUAAAGGGCGCGUAGGCGGCCACCGCAAGUCGGUUGUGAAAUCUCUGGGCUUAACCCAGAAAGGUCAACCGAUACUGCGGGGCUAGAGUGCAGAAGGGGCAACUGGAAUUCUCGGUGUAGCGGUGAAAUGCGUAGAUAUCAGGAGGAACACCGGUGGCGAAGGCGGCUAGCUGGGCCGGUUCUGACGCUCAUGUGCGAAAGCGUGGGGAGCAAACAGG
rnacentral:rRNA from 1 species